rnacentral:rRNA from 1 species
UUGGAGGGCAAGUCUGGUGCCAGCAGCCGCGGUAAUUCCGGCUCCAAUAGCGUAUAUUAAAGUUGUUGCAGUUAAAAAGCUCGUAGUUGAAUUUCGGGAUCAGUUGGUCGGUCGUGCCUCGGUACGUACUGGUCAAAUUGAUUCCUACCUUCUGACGAACCACGAUGUCAUUAAUUUGGUGUCGCGGGAAAUCAGGACUGUUACUUUGAAAAAAUUAGAGUGUUUAAAGCAGGCUCGCGCUUGAAUACAUUAGCAUGGAAUAAUGAAAUAGGACGUUUGAUUCUAUUUUGUUGGUUUCUAGGAUCGACGUAAUGAUUAAUAGGGAUAGUUGGGGGCAUUAGUAUUCAAUUGUCAGAGGUGAAAUUCUUGGAUUUAUUGAAGACUAACUACUGCGAAAGCAUUUGCCAAGGAUGUUUUCAUUAAUCAAGAACGAAAGUUAGGGGAUCGAAGACGAUCAGAUACCGUCGUAGUCUUAACCAUAAACUAUGCCGACUAGGGAUCGGAUGACGUUAAUUUUUUAAUGACUCAUUCGGCGCCUUACGGGAAACCAAAGUGUUUGGGUUC